GGUGUCUUAGGUCUCUCUUUAUGAAGUGUUGUGGUGUCUUAGGUCUCUCUUUAUGAAGUAUUGUGGUGUCUUAGGUCUCUCUUUAUGAAGUAUUGUGGUGUCUUAGGUCUCUCUUCAUGUAGUAUUGUGGUGUCUUAGGUCUCUCUUCAUGUAGUAUUGUGGUGUCUUAGGUCUCUCUUUAUGUGGUGUUGUGGUGUCUUAGGUCUCUCUUUAUGUAGUAUUGUGGUGUCUUAUGUCUCUCUUUAUGUAGUGUUGUCUUAGGUCUCUCUUUAUGUAGUAUUGUGGUGUCUUAGGUCUCUCUUUAUGUAGUGUUGUGGUGUCUUAGGUCUCUCUGUAUGUAGUGUUGUCUUAGGUCUCUCUUUAUGUAGUAUUGUGGUGUCUUAGGUCUCUCUUUAUGUAGUAUUGUGGUGUCUUAGGUCUCUCUUUAUGAAGUGUUGUGGUGUCUUAGGUCUCUCUUUAUGUAGUAUUGUGGUGUCUUAGGUCUCUCUUUAUGUAGUAUUGUGGUGUCUUAGGUCUCUCUUUAUGUAGUAUUGUGGUGUCUUAGGUCUCUCUUUAUGUAGUGUUGUGGUGUCUUAGGUCUCUCUUUAUGUAGUGUUGUGGUGUCUUAGGUCUCUCUUUAUGUAGUGUUGUGGUGUCUUAGGUCUCUCUUUAUGUAGUGUUGUGGUGUCUUAGGUCUCUCUUUAUGUUGUGGUGUCUUAGGUCUAUCUUUAUGUUGUGUUGUCUUAGGUCUCUCUUUAUGUAGUAUUGUGGUGUCUUAGGUCUCUCUUUAUGUAGUGUUGUGGUGUCUUAGGUCUCUCUGUAUGUAGUGUUGUCUUAGGUCUCUCUUUAUGUACUGUUGUGGUGUCUUAGGUCUCUCUUUAUGUAGUGUUGUGGUGUCUUAGGUCUCUCUUUAUGUGGCGUUGUGGUGUCUUAGGUCUAUCUUUAUGUAGUGUUGUCUUAGGUCUCUCUUUAUGUAGUAUUGUGCUGUCUUAGGUCUCUCUUUAUGUGGUGUUGUGGUGACUUAGGUCUCUCUUUAUGUAGUGUUGUGGUGUCUUAGGUCACUCUUUAUGAAGUGUUGCGGUGUCUUAGGUCUCUCUUUAUGUAGUGUUGUGGUGUCUUAGGUCUCUCUUCAUGUAGUAUUGUGGUGUCUUAGGUCUCUCUUUAUGUAGUAUUGUGGUGUCUUAGGUCUCUCUUUAUGUAGUAUUGUGGUGUCUUAGGUCUCUCUUUAUGUAGUGUUGUGGUGUCUUAGGUCUCUCUGUAUGUAGUGCUGUCUUAGGUCUCUCUUUAUGUAGUAUUGUGGUGUCUUAGGUCUCUCUUUAUGUAGUAUUGUGGUGUCUUAGGUCUCUCUUUAUGUAGUAUUGUGGUGUCUUAGGUCUCUCUUUAUGUAGUAUUGUGAUGUCUUAGGUCUCUCUGUAUGUAGUGCUGUCUUAGGUCUCUCUUUAUGUAGUAUUGUGGUGUCUUAGGUCUCUCUUUAUGUAGUAUUGUGGUGUCUUAGGUCUCUCUUUAUGAAGUGUUUUGGAUUCUUAGGUCUCUCUUUAUGUAGUAUUGUGGUGUCUUAGGUCUCUCUUUAUGUAGUAUUGUGGUGUCUUAGGUCUCUCUUUAUGUAGUAUUGUGGUGUCUUAGGUCUCUUUAUGAAGUGUUGUGGUGUCUUAGGUCUCUCUUCAUGUAGUAUUGUGGUGUCUUAGGUCUCUCUUCAUGUAGUAUUGUGGUGUCUUAGGUCUCUCUUCAUGUAGUAUUGUGGUGUCUUAGGUCUCUCUUUAUAUAGUAUUGUGGUGUCUUAGGUCUCUCUUUAUGUAGUAUUGUGGUGUCUUAGGUCUCUCUUUAUGUAGUAUUGUGGUGUCUUAGGUCUCUUUUUAUGUAGUGUUGUGGUGUCUUAGGUCUCUCUGUAUGUAGUGCUGUCUUAGGUCUCUCUUUAUGUAGUAUUGUGGUGUCUUAGGUCUCUCUUUAUGUAGUAUUGUGGUGUCUUAGGUCUCUCUUUAUGUAGUAUUGUGGUGUCUUAGGUCUCUCUUUAUGUAGUAUUGUGAUGUCUUAGGUCUCUCUGUAUGUAGUGCUGUCUUAGGUCUCUCUUUAUGUAGUAUUGUGGUGUCUUAGGUCUCUCUUUAUGUAGUAUUGUGGUGUCUUAGGUCUCUCUUUAUGAAGUGUUGUGGUGUCUUAGGUCUCUUUUUAUGUAGUAUUGUGGUGUCUUAGGUCUCUCUUUAUGUAGUAUUGUGGUGUCUUAGGUCUCUCUUUAUGUAGUAUUGUGGUGUCUUAGGUCUCUUUAUGAAGUGUUGUGGUGUCUUAGGUCUCUCUUCAUGUAGUAUUGUGGUGUCUUAGGUCUCUCUUCAUGUAGUAUUGUGGUGUCUUAGGUCUCUCUUUAUGUAGUAUUGUGGUGUCUUAGGUCUCUCUGUAUGUAGUAUUGUGGUGUCUUAGGUCUCUCUUUAUGUGGUGUUGUGGUGUCUUAGGUCUCUCUGUAUGUAGUGCUGUCUUAGGUCUUUCUUUAUGUAGUAUUGUGGUGUCUUAGGUCUCUCUUUAUGUAGUAUUGUGGUGUCUUUGGUCUCUCUUUAUGUAGUAUUGUGGUGUCUUAGGUCUCUCUUUAUGUAGUAUUGUGGUGUCUUAGGUCUCUCUUUAUGUAGUAUUGUGGUGUCUUAGGUCUCUCUUUAUGUAGUUUUGUGGUGUCUUAGGUCUCUCUUUAUGAAGUGUUGUGGUGUCUUAGGUCUCUCUUUAUGAAGUGUUGUGGUGUCUUAGGUCUCUCUUCAUGUAGUAUUGUGGUGUCUUAGGUCUCUCUUUAUGUAGUAUUGUGGUGUCUUAGGUCUCUCUUUAUGUAGUAUUGUGGUGUCUUAGGUCUCUCUUUAUGAAGUGUUGUGGUGUCUCUUGUUGUGAUGUGUGUUUUGUAAUACAGUUUUAUUUUUUAUUCCAGCGCCCGUCCCAGUAGAAAGCCUUUUGUCUCUUGGUUGGCCGGCAUAAAUCAGAAUAAAUCAGAAUUGGUCCUUAACAGACUUGCCUAGUUAAAUAAAAGUUCAUUUAAAAAAAUAAAACCAAUCCCAGCCUUCAGAUCAAUUAGGUGGCCAUUCAAUGUGACGUAACCCAAGACAAAGAGGUCCUGUUUUCCGGGUGAGGUUAAAGCACGGGUGAGCAGGCAGUAACACAAGGAGGACACCAAAUCCAGUCCAGAUAUCUGGCUUGUGUCCGACUGUUUCCUAGGAAAAGACAGGAGGAACAUAGAGGAGACAUUUAGUGUUUAUUCCUCACUAUUAACAUUAAAACAUUUGAGUCAUAGGCAGAGCUAGAACCACAGUAUAAAAGUGUGUGGUUGAACAUAGAUACUAAUCUACCGUCCUGAUCUUCUAAAGUCAUGACACUUCUCUGAUGUGACAGGCUAGAGAGAGUACUGUCAGUCUGGAUUUCCACCACAGGCCAGGAUGUCUGCCUAUUUAGUCAUUGACAUGUCCACACUUCCUGGGACAAUUCCUUUGAUUCACUUCCUUGUUUCCAUAAAGAAACAGUUUGCUCAAUGUAUAAAAAAACCCAGAUUAAUCAGUUUAAAUAAUCAGUUUCCUUUUCAAUCAGUUUCCUUCAAUCACCAGUCACCACCAUAGACAGGGAGAUCUGCUUCAUAGGAAACACUUUCACCAUGUCCCAUUUGAACGUGUACAAAUGAUAGCCACGUCUACACUGUAAUCUUCUGUCACUCAGGAAGUUCAAACAGAAUUGAUUGACUCAACUCUGCAUCUAACGGUCUGGGCCUUUAGAAUAACACCAUGUUAUUGUUGUACAGUAAUAGUUACUUUGUGGUUUCCCUUCACUAGACAUGUUGAAGCCAGGCAGGUAGUGUUGCUUGUACCUGUUGAGCUGUUCUCUAAGAUGGCGCUGGCUCUGACACUCCACAUUACUGGGAGCAGUGUGAUGAUGGAGGUAAUGGCUGUAAAACGCACUCACCUCCUCUCUGGAACGGCACAGAUCAUCACAAGUGAGAUGUCAACAUGCCUGGCUAUCACUCUCUUAGUAUCAUACAGGAAGAGACAGUGAUAUAUUGUCUUUCUUUAGGUCUGAGCUUACAUGAUCAAAUAUAGUUAUAGUGGCAGGGUUUUCUUUAGUUAAAAGUAAACAGGAAGGAAGAGAAGUACCUGACGGAGGUACGCAGUAAAGUAAACAGGAAGGAAGAGAAGUACCUGACGGAGGUACGCAGUAAAGUAAACAGGAAGGAAGAGAAGUACCUGACGGAGGUACGCAGUAAAGUAAACAGGAAGGAAGAGAAGUACCUGACGGAGGUAUGCAGCUUCUCUUUGUGAAGAUGAAACAACAACACACCUGACAUGUUUCAUCAUCCGAGGUGUCAGGUUACAGUGUAUGUAUCAACCUGUUAUACAUUUAAAUGAUGUCAUGUCUCAAGCUCAAGAAAUGUGUGAAACGUGCCUCAUGUAUCGUCCCUUUCUGUUUUUUAACCGUGCUCAUCUGUAACGCAACUUCCUGCACAUGUUGCAGUGAGAGUAGGUUAGAGUUAAUAGUUGAUUACAUAGUUAAAAUAUUGUAAUGUACUGAGUCGACCCCUAAAUCUGAGACAGAUCGUCGGUGCCCGUUGAAUAAGACACACAGCUAAUCCCCAUGACCCUGUUUUGAUGUUGGCAUUACUGUAAAUCACUGUCAUUCUACUCAUUGACGUCACAUGAUCAACCACAUCAGACAGUGUCUCCUCUGCUCGUCCUGUUAAAGAUGACGGCCAUUUCCAAAUACACAGGAUGCAUCCCAAAUGGCACCCUAUUCCCUAUAUAGUGCACUACUUCUGACCAGGGCCCAUAGUAGGGCACUAUGUAUUGAAUAGGGUGCCGUUUAGGAUUUAGGAGGGGCCCACUGUAUUAAUAGUAAGGAUAAAUAAAUAAUGGAUAAAUAAAAACAUUUUUUUAAAUA